CAUUAAUCACAAUGGGUGCCUGCUGCGGGUGUCUUGAUGGCAUUUUUUUCUCUCUUUUUUUGGUUUGUCUUUUGUUCCGCUGCCGCAGAAUUUGUCUUUAGUCGCUGGCGUUCCCAGUUUUGUUUGUUAAGUUUCACGGCGUUUGCGUUGGCACACGUGUGUGCCUAAAUGUUCGACGGCACAUAUGUGCGAGCACACCAACGAGCGGACAAACGCAGAGUCAUUGUCCUCAGUCGUCUCUCACCCCUCCUCCCCGAUGCAGAAAUCCAUAGCGUUGUAAAUGAAGCUGUGAGGAUCGAUGCUGCAGGCAGGCAGUGCUCUAGAUUAAAGAAAACCCUCAACUCUGCAGUAAACAGGACACAAAGUUUCAUGCAGAGACACACAUGGACAAGCUUGG